UACGGAGGGGGCUAGCGUUGUUCGGAAUUACUGGGCGUAAAGCGCACGUAGGCGGCGAUUUAAGUCAGAGGUGAAAGCCCGGGGCUCAACCCCGGAACAGCCUUUGAGACUGGAUUGCUUGAACAUCGGAGAGGUGAGUGGAAUUCCGAGUGUAGAGGUGAAAUUCGUAGAUAUUCGCAAGAACACCAGUGGCGAAGGCGGCUCACUGGCCCGGUACUGACGCUGAGGAGCGAAAGCGUGGGGAGCAAACAGG
rnacentral:rRNA from 1 species